GUGUAGCUCAGUGGUAGAGCUCAUGCUUAGCAUGCAGGAGGUCCUGGGUUCAAUCCCCAGUAC
rnacentral:tRNA from 1 species